rnacentral:rRNA from 1 species
CUAGUAGGCGUCGAGUGGCGGACGGGUGAGUAACGCGUAGGAAUCUGCCCAUCUGUGGGGGAUACCAGUUGGAAACGACUGUUAAUACCGCAUAAUAUCUGCGGAUUAAAGGUGGCCUUUGUGCUGCCGCAGAUGGAUGAGCCUGCGUUAGAUUAGCUUGUUGGUGGGGUAAGGGCCUACCAAGGCUACGAUCUAUAGCUGAUUUGAGAGGAUGAUCAGCCACAUUGGGACUGAGACACGGCCCAAACUCCUACGGGAGGCAGCAGUGGGGAAUAUUGGACAAUGGGCGAAAGCCUGAUCCAGCAAUGCCAUGUGUGUGAAGAAGGCUCUAGGGUUGUAAAGCACUUUAGUUGGGGAGGAAAGCUUAUGAGUUAAUAGCUCAUGAGAAGGACGUUACCCAAAGAAUAAGGACCGGCUAACUCCGUGCCAGCAGCCGCGGUAAUACGGGGGGUCCGAGCGUUAAUCGGAAUUACUGGGCGUAAAGGGUCUGUAGGUGGUUUGUUAAGUCAGAUGUGAAAGCCCAGGGCUCAACCUUGGAACUGCAUUUGAUACUGGCAAACUAGAGUAUAGUAGAGGAAUGGGGAAUUUCUGGUGUAGCGGUGAAAUGCGUAGAGAUCAGAAGGAACACCAAUGGCGAAGGCAACAUUCUGGACUAAUACUGACACUGAGGGACGAAAGCGUGGGGAUCAAACAGGAUUAGAUACCCUGGUAGUCCACGCUGUAAACGAUGAGUACUAGCUGUUGGAGUCGGUGUAAAGGCUCUAGUGGCGUAGCUAACGCGUUAAGUACUCCGCCUGGGGACUACGGCCGCAAGGCUAAAACUCAAAGGAAUUGACGGGGACCCGCACAAGCGGUGGAGCAUGUGGUUUAAUUCGAUGCAACGCGAAGAACCUUACCUGGUCUUGACAUCCUGCGAACUUUCUAGAGAUAGAUUGGUGCCUUCGGGAACGCAGUGACAGGUGCUGCACGGCUGUCGUCAGCUCGUGUUGUGAAAUGUUGGGUUAAGUCCCGCAACGAGCGCAACCCCUAUUGAUAGUUACCAUCAUUAAGUUGGGUACUCUAUUGAGACUGCCGCUGACAAGGCGGAGGAAGGUGGGGACGACGUCAAGUCAUCAUGGCCCUUACGACCAGGGCUACACACGUGCUACAAUGGGUAUUACAGAGGGCUGCGAAGGUGCGAGCUGGAGCGAAACUCAGAAAGGUACUCUUAGUCCGGA